GCAUAUCAAUAAGCGGAGGAAAAGAAACCAACAGGGAUUGCCUCAGUAACGGCGAGUGAAGCGGCAACAGCUCAAAUUUGAAAUCUGGCUCUUUCAGGGUCCGAGUUGUAAUUUGUAGAAGAUGCUUUGGGUGUGGCUCCGGUCUAAGUUCCUUGGAACAGGACGUCAUAGAGGGUGAGAAUCCCGUAUGUGAUUGGGGCCUUCGCUCGUGUAAAGCUCUUUCGACGAGUCGAGUUGUUUGGGAAUGCAGCUCAAAAUGGGUGGUAAAUUUCAUCUAAAGCUAAAUAUUGGCCAGAGACCGAUAGCGCACAAGUAGAGUGAUCGAAAGAUGAAAAGCACUUUGGAAAGAGAGUUAAACAGUACGUGAAAUUGUUGAAAGGGAAGCGCUUGCAACCAGACUUGCACGCUGUUGAUCAUCCGAGGUUCUCCCCGGUGCACUCAGCAGUGUUCAGGCCAGCAUCGGUUCCGGUGGGCGGAUAAAGGCCUUGGGAAUGUGGCUCCUCUCGGGGAGUGUUAUAGCCCUCGGUGCAAUGCGCCCUACUGGGACCGAGGACCGCGCUUCGGCUAGGAUGCUGGCGUAAUGGUUGUAAGCGACCCGUCUUGAAACACGGACC
rnacentral:rRNA from 1 species